rnacentral:rRNA from 1 species
AUGUGGAAGAAAGAAUAUCAGGACCACCUGGGCCCAAUGGAGGAACCAGAAGAACAGGAGGGAGAGGAAGAGUGUGAACAAGCAAUUGUGCUUGAUGGUACUAAUGUGGAAAGAUUAAGGAGGGAGGAGGUGGCUCCCAGGAAUCUCUUUACUUAUUGUUGGUUCACAGGAUGUGCUUGUCCAAUCCACUGA